CAGUCGAGGGGUAACAGAGGUAGCUUGCUACUUGCUGACGACCGGCGCACGGGUGCGUAACGCGUAUAGAACCUACCUUAUAGAAGGGAAUAGCCCAGAGAAAUUUGGAUUAAUGCCCUAUAGUAUUAUUGAUUGGCAUCGAUUAAUAAUUAAAGAUUUAUCGCUAUAAGAUGGCUAUGCGUUCUAUUAGCUAGUUGGUAUGGUAACGGCAUACCAAGGCAACGAUAGAUAGGGGUCCUGAGAGGGAGAUCCCCCACACUGGUACUGAGACACGGACCAGACUCCUACGGGAGGCAGCAGUGAGGAAUAUUGGACAAUGGAGGCAACUCUGAUCCAGCCAUGCCGCGUGCAGGAAGACUGCCCUAUGGGUUGUAAACUGCUUUUAUAGAGGAAGAACUAGUGCUACGUGUAGCACCUUGACGGUACUCUACGAAUAAGGAUCGGCUAACUCCGUGCCAGCAGCCGCGGUAAUACGGAGGAUCCAAGCGUUAUCCGGAAUCAUUGGGUUUAAAGGGUCCGUAGGCGGGUCUGUAAGUCAGUGGUGAAAGUUUACGGCUCAACCGUGAAAUUGCCAUUGAUACUGCAGGUCUUGAAUUAUUGUGAAGUGGUUAGAAUAUGUAGUGUAGCGGUGAAAUGCAUAGAUAUUACAUAGAAUACCGAUUGCGAAGGCAGAUCACUAACAAUAUAUUGACGCU
rnacentral:rRNA from 1 species